rnacentral:rRNA from 1 species
GGGUGAGUAAUGCCUAGGAAUCUGCCUAGUAGUGGGGGACAACGUUUCGAAAGGAACGCUAAUACCGCAUACGUCCUACGGGAGAAAGUGGGGGAUCUUCGGACCUCACGCUAUUAGAUGAGCCUAGGUCGGAUUAGCUAGUUGGUAGGGUAAAGGCCUACCAAGGCGACGAUCCGUAACUGGUCUGAGAGGAUGAUCAGUCACACUGGAACUGAGACACGGUCCAGACUCCUACGGGAGGCAGCAGUGGGGAAUAUUGGACAAUGGGCGAAAGCCUGAUCCAGCCAUGCCGCGUGUGUGAAGAAGGCCUUCGGGUCGUAAAGCACUUUAAGUUGGGAGGAAGGGCUCAUAGCGAAUACCUGUGAGYUUUGACGUUACCAACAGAAUAAGCACCGGCUAACUUCGUGCCAGCAGCCGCGGUAAUACGAAGGGUGCAAGCGUUAAUCGGAAUUACUGGGCGUAAAGCGCGCGUAGGUGGCUUGAUAAGUUGGAUGUGAAAUCCCCGGGCUCAACCUGGGAACUGCAUCCAAAACUGUCUGGCUAGAGUGCGGUAGAGGGUAGUGGAAUUUCCAGUGUAGCGGUGAAAUGCGUAGAUAUUGGAAGGAACACAGUGCGAAGCGACUACCUGGACUGACACUGGACACUGAAGUGCGAAGCGGUGGGG